GGGGGUGAAUGGACUCGACCUAAAAGGCGAUGCGAAAAGGAGCAUGCCGAGGAUGUGAGUUGCCUGCGAUAGUGGUACUUGCAAAAAAUUAAAUGCAGAAAACACAUUUAAUACCACUCCUGCUUACGCUGUAAGUUAAGGAGGCUCUUCUACUUUUCUGCCUCGGAAAGUAUAAGAGUUCAUUUAUGAGGCUCGGAGUAAGCUUUUGCUUUUCGGGUUUACUCUUAAAACUAAGGAAAGCUGCUUCCUGGUAAAUCCUGCCUUUUGGAGCUAUCAGGAAAAAGAUAAACAAAAGGCUAAGCAUGUAGAAUCUUUUUGCUGAAAUUUUAGGGACGCGGGUUCGAUUCCCGCCACCUCCAUUU
rnacentral:tmRNA from 1 species